GCUCGGGUCACUCCAGCGUCAAAUCUGCAUCUGCUAACUAUUACUAACACCCACUCUUCAUCAUCAUCAUCAUCAGUGUGCUGACUCACGGUGCACAUGUGCUCAAGAGACACAGAACACAUGUUAAGCAGUAUAGAACUCUUUUGUCAUGAAUCUCAGCACCAAAUUCAGUGUGUAGUCUCCCAAAGAACCCAGCUAACCUUCUGCAAUGUUCUCUCACAGCUACGAACACACGUUCUUCAGUAACAUUAAUAGAAUGUUCAUGUUCAGGUUUGGAGCAACUUGAGGAGUGAACUGCAGGACUUUGUUCUGAUCAUCCGACUCGAACCGGAUCAAGUCCUUCGUUGUCUCUGAUGAACAUCUAAACACUGAUGAAGAUCACACAGUCUGUGGCUGAUUCUCCUCAUGUUUGCUUCAGCUGUGUUUCUGAAGUGAUAUAUCUGAUGGAGCUCUCACAGCCGUCCGACUCUCUGCUCCAGCAGCUCCAGCUGUGUCUCCAUCUCUUUGGGCAGGUCUUCGUUCACCUCUCGCUGGAAGUACGCUCUGAUGUCCUCCACCUCCUGCCUCCAG